GCUGGAAUAGCUCAGUUGGUAGAGCAGAGGACUGAAAAUC
rnacentral:tRNA from 1 species